GAUGAACGCUGGCGGCGUGCCUAAUACAUGCAAGUCGAGCGAACGGGUGAGAAGCUUGCUCCUCUGAUGUUAGCGGCGGACGGGUGAGUAACACGUGGAUAACCUACCUAUAAGACUGGGAUAACUCCGGGAAACCGGAGCUAAUACCGGAUGAUAUUUUGAACCGCAUGGUUCCAAAGUGAAAGACGGUCUUGCUGUCACUUAUAGAUGGACCCGCGCUGCAUUAGCUAGUUGGUAAGGUAACGGCUUACCAAGGCAACGAUGCAUAGCCGACCUGAGAGGGUGAUCGGCCACACUGGAACUGAGACACGGUCCAGACUCCUACGGGAGGCAGCAGUAGGGAAUCUUCCGCAAUGGGCGAAAGCCUGACGGAGCAACGCCGCGUGAGUGAUGAAGGUCUUCGGAUCGUAAAACUCUGUUAUUAGGGAAGAACAAAUGUGUAAGUAACUGUGCACAUCUUGACGGUACCUAAUCAGAAAGCCACGGCUAACUACGUG
rnacentral:rRNA from 1 species